AGGGUUUCAAAGUCUGCCAGUAUCUAUUCGAUGAACUUGCCCUUGGACAAGUGAUGAUCAGAUAGGCCUAAACCCAUAAAGGUAGCAAGGGCAAAGUCAAAUAAAGAAAUAAAGAAAUUCCAACUUAAGUCAAUCAAGGAACAAUUGCAGAGAGGGUUCUCGUGCAUGAUAUGCAAGGAGGUUAUGGUUUCACCAGUGACAACACCAUGUGCUCAUAAUCUAUGAAGUACGGACACUCCAGCCCCUUGCUGUGUCUGGUGUCCGACACGCUCCGUGUCAGUGUCCGACACCGACACGACACCCGUACUACGUUCUAUAUUUUGGACAUUACAGGUGUCCACAUGUCCGUGUCCGUGUCGUGUCCGGUGUCCAUGUCGGUGUUGAUGCUUCAUAGCUCAUAACUUCUACAAGUCCUGUUUGGAAGGUGUAUUUGUUGGUUAGGCUUUUGCGAAGGAGAGAAGUAGGGGUGGGAGAAUGCUUCGGUCUAAAAAAAAGUAAUGAAAUGUCCUUCUUGUUCUGUUGACAUUUCUGAUUAUCUUCAGAACAUUUAGGUUGACAUAGAUUUGAAAAGUGCAAUUGAGUCAUUGAAAGCUAAGGUUGAAGAAAUUGGAGAAACAUGGGAGUCAAGUGAAGAUGCAGAUGGAUUACAAGAUGAUGGUGCUGGCAAGGAUGAAGAUACUGACUCAGGAAACAAAAAUUCUAUAGUGGAGUCGGAUAGUCUACCUGAAGAAUCUAAUGUUGGUGAACUUAAAGAUACCACCAACAAGGGGCUAGAUCCAGCUGUGAAGUACAAUGGAAAGAGAAAGAUAGGUGAUUAUGGAAAUCAAUCAUAUGAUGAUAAAAUGGAAAAAAGAGGUAAAUAUUACAAAACAACUGAGGAAGCAUUGCAUGAAGAAGAUGAUUCUUCAUCAAAUCCUCUUAAUCCUCAAUGAAAUCAUUAUAGAUUGAGGAAUUUUAACAACUAGACCAUCAUUGCAACAUGAUUCUUUUUAUUUUUCUCAUGGUUCAGUAUUAGUCUUAGAAAUGCUACAAGGACUAUCAUUUUUAUCAGGUUAUACUCUUUUCAUUUUAGUUCACUUAGUUUGUUAUCACCUUUUUGUGAAUGUUCAUAGUUUUAUGGGAAAUGGAACUAUCAAAGACCUUAAAAAAACAA